rnacentral:rRNA from 1 species
GGGAUAAAGCUUGGGAAAACUGGGUCUAAUACCGGAUAGGACAACCUGUUUAUGUCAUUGUGGAAAGUUUUUUCGGUGCAAGAUGAGCUUGCGGCCUAUCAGCUUGUUGGUGGGCGUAAUGGCCUACCAAGGCGUCGACGGGUAGCCGGCCUGAGAGGGUGUACGGCCACAUUGGGACUGAGAUACGGCCCAGACUCCUACGGGAGGCACCCAGUGGGGAAUAUUGCACAAUGGGCGGAAGCCUGAUGCAGCGACGCCGCGUGGGGGAUGAAGGCCUUCGGGUUGUAAACUCCUUUCGACAGGGACGAAGCGUAAGUGACGGUACCUGUAUAAGAAGCACCGGCUAACUACGUGCCAGCAGCCGCGGUAAUACGUAGGGUGCGAGCGUUGUCCGGAAUUACUGGGCGUAAAGAGCUCGUAGGUGGUUUGUCGCGUCGUCUGUGAAAUUCCGGGGCUUAACUCCGGGCGUGCAGGCCGACCCGGGCUGACUUGAGUGCUGUAGGGGAGACUGGAAUUCCUGGUGUAGCGGUGAAAUGCGCAGAUAUCAGGAGGAACACCGAUGGCGAAGGCAGGUCUCUGGGCAGUAACUGACGCUGAGGAGCGAAAGCAUGGGUAGCGAACAGGAUUAGAUACCCUGGUAGUCCAUGCCCCCACGGUGGGCGCUAGGUGUAGGGGGCUUCCACGUCUUCUGUGCCGUAGCUACGCAUUAAGCGCCCCACCUGGGGAGUACGCCGCAAG